rnacentral:rRNA from 1 species
CUACGGGGUGCAGCAGUGGGGAAUAUUGCACAAUGGAGGAAACUCUGAUGCAGCAACGCCGCGUGGAGGAUGACACUUUUCGGAGCGUAAACUCCUUUUAUAUAGGAAGAAGAUGACGGUACUAUAUGAAUAAGCGCCGGCUAACUCCGUGCCAGCAGCCGCGGUAAUACGGAGGGCGCAAGCGUUACUCGGAAUCACUGGGCGUAAAGAGCGUGUAGGCGGAUUAAAAAGUCAGAAGUGAAAUCCUAUAGCUUAACUAUAGAACUGCUUCUGAAACUCUUAAGCUAGAAUAUGGGAGAGGUGGAUGGAAUUUCUGGUGUAGGGGUAAAAUCCGUAGAGAUCAGAAGGAAUACCGAUUGCGAAGGCGAUCUACUAGAACAUUAUUGACGCUGGGACGCGAAAGCGUGGGGAGCAAACAGGAUUAGAUACCCUGGUAGUC